rnacentral:lncRNA from 1 species
AUUUUUAACACACAAAUAUUACAAAAAAUUUAAUUUAAUAAUAAAAAUUACCUUUUUUUUUCUUUUUUUUCAUUCCUUCCCUCUUCUUCUUCUUUCUUUUUUUCUCUUCUCUUCUCCUUUCCUUUUCUUUCCUUCUUUUUCUUUCUUUUUCUUCUUCUCCUUUCCUUCUUUUUCUUUCUUUCCUCUCCUUUCCUUUCCUUUUCUUUCCUUUUCUUUCUUUCUUUCUUUCUUCUUCUUUCCCUCUCAUUCUCUCCCCCCCCCACCAAUCGGCCCCAUUAUAAGGUUGGUGCCGCCAACUAGUAUGGCACCAUCGGUGCCGCCAAUCAAUUAGACACCUUUGGUGCCGCCAAUCCAAAACCCUCCACCAGGGUCCUGUCAAAUCGGUGCAGCUUUUUUUUCUGUUUUUUUCGUAUAUUUUGGUAAAUAAAAAAAUUUAUAAUAUUUGGGGUUAUUU